GCUCACGUGGAGCCAGUGGCCGCGGGUAUAGUGGGGGGGCAGGAGUGGUUUGGAAGUAUGGGGCGGAAGGGGGGCGGCGUGGGGUCGGGAAGUCGUUAGUGAAAGCGGUGGGCUCAACUCUGAGAUGGGUAUAGAAACGGCCGUGUUGGAGUGUGGGUGAGGUGAGUGGAAGUCCCGGUGUAGCGGUGAAAUGCGUAGAGAUCGGGAGGAACACCGGUGGCGAAAGCGGCUCACUGGACCACAACUGACGCUGAUGCGCGAAAGCUAGGGGAGCAAACAGGAUUAGAUACCCUGGUAGUC
rnacentral:rRNA from 1 species